UACAGAGGGGGCAAGCGUUAUUCGGAAUUAUUGGGCGUAAAGGGCGCGUAGGCGGCGAUUCAAGUGACGGGUGAAAUCCCUCGGCUUAACCGAGGAACUGCCUGUCAGACUGGAUUGCUUGAAUCCGGGAGAGGGAUGCAGAAUUCCAGGUGUAGCGGUGAAAUGCGUAGAUAUCUGGAGGAAUACCGGUGGCGAAGGCGGCAUCCUGGACCGGCAUUGACGCUGAUGAGCGAAAGCUAGGGGAGCAAACGGG
rnacentral:rRNA from 1 species